UUUCCUUGUGAUUUGUGGAUUUUGGCAUUGAUUAGUUUCUGGGUUCCUGUGUUUCCCCAAAUGCCCAUCUGAUUUGGAGGGGUUUUUGGCUGUUAACUUUUGUGACUUCAUGCUCAUGGUGAGACCUCCUCCCUCUGAUUUCUGAGCUUCUUAGCUUUAAUCCUCUGUUUUAGCUUUCUGGGUUUUGUUUGACAUUUCAUCUGCUUUUGGUUAUAUUAUGGUUUCUGAUCUCAUGUGGAGGUGGGUUUUGAUUUUGAAUACCCCAUUUGAUUUCUCAUGUGUUUGUGGUUGCCUCUGGAUCCGAGUUUGUUUUUCCCUUUUGAUUUCAUUUUCUGGUAUCUUCUGGUACUGCUUGAUUUUGUCUUUUUCUUUCUUUCUAAUGGUGUUUUUAGAUCUCCUGCAUUAGCUUGUAUUGAUAUUGUUCUGUAAUCGUAUAAAAGUAUUGAUGGAGUACCUGCAUUUUACAUUGACUUCUAUUCAAAUGCCCACCUGGUUUCUGUGGUUGAGUCAUUUGUUUUUGGAAUGAAGAAACUGUUUGUGGCCAGUCAUGAGAUCAAAUCUUGGGUCUUGGUGCUUGACCAAUGUAUGACUACACUAUCUAAUCCUGUCAGCAAGUUUUUUUAGUGUAGAUUCAUGCAUUUGUAUUUGGAAAGUCCUAAACUGGAGUUUGGGAGUUGCUUAGUCUCUUUUUUUUUCCUUCUAGGUGUUACUUGGAUCUCAUCUGCUUCUAAUUCUAUUUUGUGAUUCUGGUUUUAGCCUUUGCGUUUGUUGUUUUUAAACGAAGGUUUUUGUUGCCCAAAUCUAUUUAAGUUGGUUUCAACAAAUAAAGAUGCUUUUGUGCGGCUAUUUCUUGUCGUUGGGCUGUGUAGGUUGUUUGUGGAUUAUGUUUGUACACUUAAGCUAUCACAUUGCUUACGGUUUACCCAUCUGCUAAUAUAAGCUACUCUGGUUAAAUGUCAUCCUCAGAUGCUCACGGCAGUAGCCAAAGGAAAAAGAUACUGAUAAAGACGUGCAUAUUUUGUGAUUAUAAAUUACUAUCCUGGUAGCUUCCUUGCUCUUUGAGUAUGCUAAUGGAAAGAUUAAACAGGAAAAUGAAGUGGGGAAGCUAGUACGAGAAAGGAAAGAAGGGAAAUAAGAACUAGUAAUCUAGCAUAUUGCAAUGGAAAUGUCUACAAAAUCGGUUAUGGCGAUCAAAUCUUACCAAAAUCAG
rnacentral:lncRNA from 1 species